GACGAACGCUGGCGGCGUGCUUAACACAUGCAAGUCGAACGGAAAGGCCCUGCUUUUGUGGGGUGCUCGAGUGGCGAACGGGUGAGUAACACGUGAGUAACCUGCCCUUGACUUUGGGAUAACUUCAGGAAACUGGGGCUAAUACCGGAUAGGAGCUCCUGCUGCAUGGUGGGGGUUGGAAAGUUUCGGCGGUUGGGGAUGGACUCGCGGCUUAUCAGCUUGUUGGUGGGGUAGUGGCUUACCAAGGCUUUGACGGGUAGCCGGCCUGAGAGGGUGACCGGCCACAGUGGGACUGAGAUACGGCCCAGACUCAUACGGGAGGCAGCAGGGGGGAAUAUGGCACAAUGGGGGGAGGCCUGAUGCAGCAACGCCGCGUGCGGGAUGACGGCCGUCGGGUUGGAAACAGCUUUCACCUGUUACGAAGCGUGAGUGACGGUAAUUGGUAAAGAAGCACCGGCUACCUACGUU
rnacentral:rRNA from 1 species